rnacentral:rRNA from 1 species
UACGUAGGGUGCGAGCGUUAAUCGGAAUUACUGGGCGUAAAGCGUGCGCAGGCGGUUGUGCAAGACAGAUGUGAAAUCCCCGGGCUCAACCUGGGAAUUGCAUUUGUGACUGCACGGCUAGAGUGUGUCAGAGGGGGGUAGAAUUCCACGUGUAGCAGUGAAAUGCGUAGAUAUGUGGAGGAAUACCGAUGGCGAAGGCAGCCCCCUGGGAUAACACUGACGCUCAUGCACGAAAGCGUGGGGAGCAAACAGG